rnacentral:rRNA from 1 species
GAUGAACGCUGGCGGCGUGCCUAAUACAUGCAAGUCGAGCGAACAGACGAGGAGCUUGCUCCUCUGACGUUAGCGGCGGACGGGUGAGUAACACGUGGAUAACCUACCUAUAAGACUGGGAUAACUUCGGGAAACCGGAGCUAAUACCGGAUAAUAUAUUGAACCGCAUGGUUCAAUAGUGAAAGACGGUUUUGCUGUCACUUAUAGAUGGAUCCGCGCCGCAUUAGCUAGUUGGUAAGGUAACGGCUUACCAAGGCAACGAUGCGUAGCCGACCUGAGAGGGUGAUCGGCCACACUGGAACUGAGACACGGUCCAGACUCCUACGAGAGGCAGCAGUAGGGAAUCUUCCGCAAUGGGCGAAAGCCUGACGGAGCAACGCCGCGUGAGUGAUGAAGGUCUUCGGAUCGUAAAGCUCUGUUAUUAGGGAAGAACAAAUGUGUAAGUAACUAUGCACGUCUUGACGGUACCUAAUCAGAAAGCCACGGCUAACUACGUG